GACGAACGCUGGCGUCGUGCUUAACACAUGCAAGUCGAACGGUAAGGCCCUUCGGGGUACACGAGUGGCGAACGGGUGAGUAACACGUGGGUGAUCUGCCCUGCACUUCGGGAUAAGCCUGGGAAACUGGGUCUAAUAACGGAUAGGACUCCGGACUGCAUGGUCUGGGGUGGAAAGCUUUUGCGGUGUGGGAUGGGCCCGCGGCCUAUCAGCUUGUUGGUGGGGUGAUGGCCUACCAAGGCGACGACGGGUAGCCUGCCUGAGAGGGUGACCGGCCAAACUGGGACUGAGAUACGGCCCAGACUCCUACGGGAGGCAGCAGUGGGGAAUAUUGCACAAUGGGCGCAAGCCUGAUGCAGCGACGCCGCGUGAGGGAUGACGGCCUUCGGGUUGUAAACCUCUUUCAGCAUCGACGAAGCGAAAGUGACGGUAGGUGCAGAAGAAGGACCGGCCAACUGCGUGCCAGCAGCCGCAGUAA
rnacentral:rRNA from 1 species